CCCGCGUCCCGGCUCCCCCUCAGCUCCCUCCGAACCGGCAGCGGCGCUGCUGGCUUCACCUCCCGGCUCCCCGCACGGCUCUCCCGCCCACAGCGCCUCAGCCCACCUUCCCCUGACCUACACCUCACCAGCGGGGCCGUGUCUGGGCUGGGAAGGGCGGAGGGGCGCGCAUCCUGCGCGGGGCUGAAGGGAUGUGUGAGCGCGUGUGUUUAUCUCUACGCUCGUGUAUCUUGCGGUGUUUUUCACCAGCACACUUUCUUUGACGAUGACUUACUCCACCUGGAAAAUCCAUCAGAAGAAAUUCACAAUGACCCAGCCAUGUUGCCCUGCUGUGUUUUAUGGAGUAGAGAGUUAGCGAAGUAACAUAAAGGAUCAAGACAACAGGUUCUGCGUUUUUGAAAUGUAGACGUUUGAAAACAUUCUCAGAGCCUCGCAGAGGAAGUCUACAGGGGCUCUAAUGAUUCUACUCCAGACAAGAUGGGCUAGAAUGGAGAGAGAGAUCUUCUCUUAAGAAGUCUGUGCCUUCAAACACCAGCGGGUCUGGCUACCCAGCCAUGGGUUGCCGGGAUCGUCCUUUCAUGGUUCUGAUGAUGCCCCAGGCAUGAGUGACCUGAGCACUUUGAGAACUGUCUGAAAUUGCCCGUAAAUACUGGGGCAGGCUUUGGACAAAGACUAAAUGUUUCCGUUGAACUUAACCUUUGUACUUAGGAGUGCCAUCUUGGGGACUUCCUCAACUUUCUAGCUGAUCAGGAAAAAAAAUAAUUAAGUAGAAUCUGAAACCAUAAAUACAAAAGAAGUCUACUGAAUAACAGCUGAAUAUUACCAGUGAAAUGCAUCAAUUCAUCAGCUUACACUUGAUCACACUCUGCAGAAGACUUCCAGAGAAUACAUCAGACUGGAGGAAAUGCAGUGUUACUUGCAUUCUUUUUUUCCCCCAUCCUUUUUCUAUUUCCUGGAACUAAACCAAAACACAUUCACAACAGUAAAAAGUACUGCUUCUGCAGGACAUGUUUCAGAUAUCUGUGCAGAGAUUCUGACCAGCAGCUUCUUAUAUUUAGCAGCCAAAAUAAUGUAUUUGUCACCACUGUUCUCCUUGGCUGAAUCUUUGUGUACAUCAGCUCAGCCCUUCCCUUGA
ensembl:lncRNA